rnacentral:lncRNA from 1 species
AAAAAGCAAAUAAAAUUAUACAAUUCAUAUUAAUUGUUAUAAUUUUCCAACGUAGCCAUGUUUCUUACUUCAUUCACUUCACUCAAAAUAUAUCUAAUUCAAAUAAUCUAUUGCAAAAAUGUUAGUACUGUCCCAUUUACUAGACCAAUGAAAAAGUGAUAUUUUAUUAAAAAGAAAAAUUCUAAAAUCAUAAAAUAACAUAAUUGCAUUAUUUGGAGAAAUCUCACUGAGUAGGGACAUGAAGAUAUACUUAUUUUGGGACAGGUGAUCCCUGUUGAAAGAAUCACACAUAUAUUUGUGAUAAUAUAUAGAGUAUGGAAUCAAUUUUCUCGAUACCAUAAUGAUUCCAUAUACAUUAGGAGCCACAAAUACAUUCAACCCAGCAAAUCAGCAAUAGUAAGCAUGUACACGAUAAAAUUACAUAUUUAGUCCAGAUGAUAGCUUUCAACUUUAUUCGCAACAUAAUACAUUUAUUCUCACCCAAAGAUUGCAUACUGAAACUACAUAAAAAACCCUCAGAUUGUAGUUAAUAUCAAUUAUACAGACAAUAUUUGUUGUCUCAAAUAGUAUUCAAACAUAUCAUAGACCAAUAAAAACAUGUUAUGUAUAUCAUAGUCUAUGACAUGAUCGGAGACAACAAAUCCUAGAGGAAUUAUACAAAAGAAAACAUAAGAGAGAGCUAUAGCUAACUGACCCAUGCAUCAAGAUCUGAAUACAAUGUGUACGGAACAGUUACCAAAGGAGUAAGUUAUGCCAAAGGAUUGAAGUUGCCCUGUGGGAUAAAAUGGAACUAACUAGAUUGCAAUCCACCAAGUUCCAUUUUGUCCAAAUCAUGAUGAUCUCGUUAAGCCAUUUCCUUCUAUCACACCAUGUCCCCAACAACAACAAAGGUACUACAUAGUAUCCAAUUUGGCUUGGUUGAGGUUGAUAAUUAAGUAAAAGAGAGCAAAUAAGAGAACAAAGGUUCAACUCAUGGUGAAGGAGUUGCUAGAACGAGAUAGAGAGGAUAUCAUGCAUACAAUGGGUUUAUAAAGAGAGAUAAAAGUACCCUAAAUGUUCUUUGCUUCUCCAAAAGGUUUUGGGAUUGUAAUAGUCGAAUCUUCUAAGUAUAUGCGGCGACCACCUUCACUAUUCUACACACUUAUCACCACUCAUGAUCAUUUUCAUAGAAAUAUUCAGAUGCUAGUGGAACAAUAAAAUUU